rfam:Gossypium raimondii Chr12_contig_813, whole genome shotgun sequence.
UAAAGGAGCAUGUUAAAUCAGAUAUUUCCUCCUGAUUUUCAGCUUUUUUUCCUGAAAACAUUCAAAUCCAACUAAAAAUGCUAAAAAUCAAAAGGAAAAAUCUGAUUUGUUAUGCUCCUAUU